AACUCUUAGCGGUGGAUCACUUGGCUCGUGCGUCGAUGAAGAACGCAGCCAGCUGCGAGAACUAAUGUGAAUUGCAGGACACAUUGAUCAUCGACACUUUGAACGCACAUUGCGGCCCCGGGUCAAUCCCGGGGCCACGCCUGUCUGAAAAGUCG
ensembl:rRNA 5_8S_rRNA 5.8S ribosomal RNA